AUACGGAGGGUGCGAGCGUUAAUCGGAAUUACUGGGCGUAAAGCGCGCGUAGGCGGUUUGUUAAGUCGGAUGUGAAAUCCCCGGGCUCAACCUGGGACCUGCAUCCGAUACUGGCAGGCUAGAGUCUGGUAGAGGGGGGUAGAAUUCCUGGUGUAGCGGUGAAAUGCGUAGAUAUCAGGAGGAAUACCAGUGGCGAAGGCGGCCCCCUGGACUGAGACUGACGCUGAGGUGCGAAAGCGUGGGGAGCAAACAGGAUUAGAUACCCUUGUAGUCC
rnacentral:rRNA from 1 species